CCUACGGGUGGCAGCAGUGGGGAAUAUUGCGCAAUGGGGGCAACCCUGACGCAGCCAUGCCGCGUGAAUGAAGAAGGCCUUCGGGUUGUAAAGUUCUUUCGGUGACGAGGAAGGUUGUUGUGUUAAUAGCGCAACAAAUUGACGUUAAUCACAGAAGAAGCACCGGCUAACUCCGUGCCAGCAGCCGCGGUAAUACGGAGGGUGCGAGCGUUAAUCGGAAUAACUGGGCGUAAAGGGCACGCAGGCGGACUUUUAAGUGAGGUGUGAAAUCCCCGGGCUUAACCUGGGAAUUGCAUUUCAGACUGGGGGUCUAGAGUACUUUAGGGAGGGGUAGAAUUCCACGUGUAGCGGUGAAAUGCGUAGAGAUGUGGAGGAAUACCGAAGGCGAAGGCAGCCCCUUGGGAAUGUACUGACGCUCAUGUGCGAAAGCGUGGGGAGCAAACAGGAUUAGAUACCCUAGUAGUC
rnacentral:rRNA from 1 species